rnacentral:rRNA from 1 species
GAUGAACGCUGGCGGCGUGCCUAAUACAUGCAAGUCGAGCGAACGGACGAGAAGCUUGCUUCUCUGAUGUUAGCGGCGGACGGGUGAGUAACACGUGGAUAACCUACCUAUAAGACUGGGAUAACUUCGGGAAACCGGAGCUAAUACCGGAUAAUAUUUUGAACCGCAUGGUUCAAAAGUGAAAGACGGUCUUGCUGUCACUUAUAGAUGGAUCCGCGCUGCAUUAGCUAGUUGGUAAGGUAACGGCUUACCAAGGCAACGAUGCAUAGCCGACCUGAGAGGGUGAUCGGCCACACUGAAAGUGAGACACGGUACAGACACCUACGGGAGGCAGCAGUAGGGAAUCUUCCGAAAUGGGCGAAAGCCUGACGGAGCAACGCAGCGUGAGUGAAGAAGGGCUUCGGAUCGUAAAACUCUGUUAUUAGGGAAGAACAGAUGUGUAAGUAACGGUGCACAUCUUGACGGUACCUAAAAAGAAAGCCACGGCUAACUACGU